rnacentral:lncRNA from 1 species
UCUGGAGAAAGCACCUUCCGGUUCUAUGGCUGCUAAAGCAAACCUUAGCAGUAAACAUCACCUGACACGGUUACAUUUGGUAUUUACCAGCAGGCUAGGAGACAACGGGAAGGUCAAAGGCAACAUUAGCGAGGAGGAACACAGGAGAACAGAGGAGGUGCUGGAUAAUCUGUGUCCUCCAACUUGCAUGGAAGAACUUGAUAUCAAAGGCUACUUUGCACGUGGGCUACCGCAGUGGAUGAGAACCAUGUCAGCCUUUGGGAGCUUAAGGCGGUUGCAGCUAGAUGACGACGCAUGCUGCACGCAUCUACCUAAUGGAUUGGGGCAGCUCCCCUUUCUUGAUUAUUUUUGGUUCAAUCGUGCUCCGUCUGUCCGGUGCGUUGGGCACGAUUUCCUCUUCCCCUCCUUGGGUGGUCAAGCUGAUGGCAAAGUAACACGGAACAAUAACAGGCAGCCUCAUCAUACUUUGCGAGGUGCUGGUGUUGCUUUUCCCAAGUUGAGAAAAGUGGGUUUUGUAGGCAUGCUGGGAUGGACGAAUUGGGAGUGGGAGCAGCACGUCCCAGCGAUGCCUGCACUAGAGGAGCUUACAAUCAUAAACUGCAAACUGCAACACCUUCCUGCAGGGCUUGCACAACAUGCAUGCCGGUUGAGAGAGUUGCGCCUGACACAUGUCCAGCACUUGGUCUCUGUUGAGAACUUCCCUUCACUAGUCAAGCUUUGGUCAUAUGACAACCCAAGGCUGGAGAGGAUCAGCAACAACCCGAGCUUGCAAUGGAUUGACAUUAGAAAUUGCCCAGCACUAGAACAAUUGGACGGUUUGCCAUCCCUCCGAAGCCUCGAGUGGAGGGAUUUGAGUGCUGAAGCACUCCCAGAAUACUUGCGAGAGGCAAAGCUAAAGAAAUUGCGUGUAGAUUGCAGCCGAAGAUUGCUCAAACUGAUAGCACUACAAGAUGAAUCCUCCGAAUGGGGAAAGAUCCAGCAUGUCCAGCAACUAGAGGCGUAUGGACACAAGAUAGAAGGAGAAGCGGAGGAAGCCGACCAAUCGCACGAAGAUGAGGAUGCCGAGUGGUACAUCUACUGUACCAAGGAGCCGUAUUCAUUCGACGCGUACCUGGGCAAGUCCACGGGUGAGUUCAUCUUCGACCUACUCGGUGGUUUUAUAACUGUAUGUGUGUGUACACUCAUGUAAAAAUGGAUUUCUAACUGUAUAUUCUCCUGCGCACAGGAUGAAGAUGAAGCAGAAGUAGACGAGGUGAACGAAGAGCAGAGUCCAGGAAUAGAAUAUAGUAAGAAUGCAAGGAACAGAGGAAGCUCUCAGGCUGUUACGACAGGACGAGCAUUCGAAUCCAUCCACCAAAUACUAGGUAUGAAUUGCCCAAAUACUGAUGGUCUUGUAGUUGUACACGCCAAAUUGGCUGUGACUAUUCUAACUGGAAAGCAUUGUCGUGUUAACGCAGGAGAAAGAAACCCAAGAAGGAGAAGAACACAUCGCAAUUGGGUGGUGGCAAUGUGGCAUACUGUCCCUCAAAUUCGUAAGUUGUAUAUGUUUGUGUGCGAAAAAUAUAAUACAGCAGUAAGGCGCGAGCGUCUCUCUAACCAGUUGUUGUGACGCUCAGGAAUGGAGCGCCAGCACGGGCGGCCUUGGACUCGUUGGAGCGAAUACGCGUCGGGGACGAGCGAUGGGCUGAGAGGUGAAGCACUGAACGUGCGCGCGAAGGGCAGCAGGGAAGGGAUUUGCACAUUUAGCUCCCAGGAUUUGCACUUCUUGUUGGCGUAUUUGUAGGCAGGUCUGCACUCCAUCUCUUCUUUUCGGUUGGUCUCUGCUAGCUCGUCAGACUUUCUACAGUGUUUUUGAAUGUUCGAUAGCAAAUGAGUGUAGGAAUUUGCAGACGUGCUCUAUGAUGCCGAGAUAACAAUUGCAUCCCCCCCUCAUGGAUCCUCUGGAAAGCUGAAGCUACUCUGCAAGACUGCAACGAUUGCAGCAACACGGACGUGCCUACUAAAAACAUGGUGCAAUAAAACUGCGAAAUGCUAAACAAGGUCAAGCCGGCAGCCAGGUAAACAACAUUCCAGGCAGCAGGUAUAUUCUGAGCCGUGUGAGAAUUAUCUGUCUGCAAUAGCUUUUUCAUGGGUAGCUAUCACUCGCAUGUGGAUCGUGUCUCUGGCUGAUCCGUUCAGCGUGGACCGGAGCCAACAACGGGGAUAAGAAGUCCCAACUAGUAGUAGUUGGCUGCCAAUGCGGUGGCCAAAAUUUGACCAAGCCAAGGCUAGUAAACAGCAAAUUUGGUACUGUAGGCGCGCUAUUAUAUAGCGGAAGCAACCAAAGUUAUAUAAAUAUUAAUUAUGGAUAAUACAAAGUUAUAUAAAUAUUAAUUAUGGAUAAUAAAGAGGGAGAACUAAUCAGGACGCUGACGAUGCUUCUAGUUGAUCCAUCAUGCUCCAAAAUCUUUCUGCAAGUCAGGAGCUGCAGGAUAUAAGUGCAGAACUGCCUGCCGAUUUCAAAAAAUUAAAAAAAAUUAAAGAAAAAAGAACUGACUGCCGAUGGCCACUCAAGGUAGUAAAAACUAUAGGAAUGCUAUUAGUAGUUCCAGUGUUCCACUGGUAGCUGCCAUUUGCGCUUUGCUGAUCCGUUAGGUGCGGAGCCAGCGACGAAGAGAAGAGUUGAAGCGUCUCUCUGGGGGUUAGUUGAGGCGUCUCUCUUUUGCACCUCAUCAAUAGAGACAAAUAAUUUGAGUUGCAUAUUUUUUGACUACUGACUGGACACCCAAUCGAGGUCCACAAAAAUAUGGAGUAGCGUACUCUUCUGGCACUCCUAUGCGUUGAACUUCUUCGCCUCGCCAUCUCAUCUGCCCAUCCGUGAUUUUCCAUCGACCGGCCAGGCCUUCCUUCUGUAUAAAGCGUCUCCUAAAUCACCGCAGAGUGUACACCCCCACAUAUCUGAAACCUAGUCAUCUUCCUUUUGCUCUCUGCUUUGCUACCCUGUUCCCCGACCAUGGCAGAGCUGCUGGACGAGUUCGCGUCCAAGCUUGUGGGCAUCCUGGCAGGCAUGGUGAAGGAGGAGGUGGAGAUGCUCCUCGGCGUGCCGGGUGAGGUCACCAAGCUCGAGACCACGCUCCGUGACCUGAGCGACAUCUUGGGUGAUGCGGAGAGGAAGCGCAUCCGUGACAAGGCUACGGAGGGUUGGGUGAGGGAGCUCAAGGACGUCAUGUACGACGCCGAUGACGUCCUUGACCUCUGCCAGCUCAUGGAGGGCGGAGAAGAUCCUCCCGCACCAACAUCUGCUCCAAAAACCACCUCAAGGUGCUGGGACAUCCCCAAGAUGUUCUUUUGCUUCCGCAACCCUGUUGUGGCACAUGAGAUUGGAACGAAGAUCCAAGCGAUCAACCAGCGACUGGAAGACCUGGCAACGAGGAGCUCCCGUUUCGGAUUCAUCACCCAAGCCAUCCAUUCCUCAGCUGAUUCAAUCAACAAAGCUUCCAAUUCUUUGUCGACCGACGAGACUGGAUCGGUUUUUAUCCGGUCUGAUGUUGUCGGCGAGAAGGUUGAGGAUGACACGAAGAAAAUUGUAGAUCUACUCAUCAAGAAGAUGGAUGCUCCCGUAGGAUCAAGGGCCAAUAAUGAUGUGGUUGUUGCUGUUGCUAUCACAGGCACAGGUGGGAUAGGCAAAACCACUCUUGCUCAGAUGGUCUUCGGUGAUAGUAGGGUGGAGGAAAAAUUCGAGGAAAGGAUCUGGUUGAGCGUUAACCGUGAGUUCAAUGAGAUCAACGUCCUACAAAGUCUUAUAACUUCUUUUGGUGCCAAACAUGAAGGCUGUGCGGGAAACAAGGACCUACUUCAGCGUGCCCUGAAGGAUACGAUCCGGCAAAAGAAGAAGUUUUUGUUGGUGAUGGAUGAUGUGUGGAGGGAAAAUGUGUGGUAUAAGCUGCUUAGAGAGCCGCUCAAUCAUGGUGCUUCUGGCAGUCGAGUCUUGGUGACCACAAGAAAUGAUGGAGUUGCUCAUGGGAUGAAAGCUCAACAUCUCCAUCCAGUUCACAAGCUAACAACGGAAGAUGCUUGGAUUUUGCUAAAGAACCAGGUCAGUAAUAACUUUUAUUUAUUACAGUAAUUAUUUAUGCAGUAAUUUGAAUUUACUGUAACAACUUUUAUCUCUUCUUAAUUACUUUCUCUCCCUUGGAGGAAUGCACGAUAGCCCACUGCUCGUUAUUUCUCUUGUCGCUCUUGUCCGAUCUGAUUACGCAAAGGACCAUGUAAUUUCACUACGAGCCUUUUAUCAUACUUUCAUAAGCUCUUGGCUUAGCAAAACUUGUCUCAUGGUUAUAUUUAGUUGAACAUAUCCUAUUGACGUUGAGGGAAGUUUUGUUUAGUGCAAGGAAUCGGAUACCGUAGCCUAAGAGGGGGAGAGGGUGAAUUAGGUAACUUAAAACCUUAAUCUAUAGCUUCCGCUACUUUUGCAUCAAAUUUAAUUAGAUCAUGUAUCAAGAUGUGUAACUAUGGUUGAUCUAGUGUGAAAUCCUCAUCCUAAAAUUAGUUUUGCAACCUAGAGGCAAUCCUAACAAGAUACUACACUAAGAAUGUAAAGGCACACAAGUUGCAAGUAUGAAAUGUGGAAAUGAAAAGGAGGGGAUGAGGGGAAGCAAACUCUUGACACGAUGAUUUAUCCCGUUGUAUCGGUAGGCACUAAACCACCGCUAGUCGACAUUGUUGAAGCACUCACACAAGAGUAUUGCUUUCCGGUCACCAAGUCUCUCUCGGGAUACUCCUUGCUUUGCCACGAAGGCUUGGCCGCUAAGGCUCACGUCAAAUUCUCAGGUCACCUUGAUACCAUCUCCACAAAGGAGCUUCUCCACGAAGGAAGGGGGUCUCCACGUUCCCUGCAUAUUGUCGUCGACGCCGAUCCAUGCCAAACCGGAGGGUCGAAGACUUACCGGCGAACUACCAAGGCUCCAAGAUAGCACACCUUGUACAGCUGUGGUUCACUCCUAGAACCGAUCACAAGGCAGGCACACCUUGCACUCUCUCUUCUCUAGGCCUAUCCUAGCACUAAAUAUUCUUAUAAGCUUGUGCUAAGCCUUUGAUUAAUCACUUAUGCACUUUUGGUGGCUUGGAUGUGUUCUUGAUGAGUCUUGAUCUCCAAUGGACUUCUGCAUACUCCAGCUUCAUCCAGCAACUCCAAUGGGUGAGUGGAGGGGGUAUAAAUAGCCCAAGAACUCAAAGAGCCGUUGCUCCAACGGCUAGUUAAAGUAUACCAUCGGAUGUUCCGAUGGUAUCAUUCGGGGUAGCAUUCGAACAUCUGGUUCUACCAGCCCUUGCCUCCCCGCGCUUAGAUUCUACUCAAGUUCCUCACCGACGCAAUCCAUCGAUUGAUCAAGUGGUCCCUCUAGCACCCAUCGGAUCAUCCGGUGCAGUAGCUUCCUAUGCCAAAACGUCUCUGUUAGUUUCUAAAAUAAAUAUGCUUCAUCCGAUGCCCCCACGACACAUAGCGUCGGAUCAUCCGGUGCCUCCUUCUUUCUUCUCUUUGCUCCGGCGAUUCAUCCGAUGGAUACAAAACUUAGGCCAUCGAAUCAUCCGAUGGUCCUACUUUGACUUGGUCUCCACAUGGCGUACCAAAAGCUCCGAUGCUUGCACCGAUGCUUUUUCAACUGGCCAUCGAAACAUCCGAUGGUCUCAAAAACCUGCUUCACGCUUGGCACCGACUGAUUCGGUGGGCACCUUCUUCUUGUCACCAGAUGAAUCGGUGACUAUAAUGAUUCCUGUUUUUCUUUGAUUCUUUGCUUAUCUUUGGUUGUGGUUGCUUCCUCAGGACCUAUAAUACCUUCAAGAUAUGUUUUCAAUGCUUUGUUAGUCCUGAUGACCGUGUUGUCACAUUAAUCACCAAAAUCACAAACAAAUAGCCUAUUCGGGGCCAUGUUUGCUACAUUUAGGCUAUUCCCAAUGGGGAUUUCAUAAGAGUUUCAUUUAAUGAUGCGACACACCAACAAUUUUGAUGAUAUGGCAUGCUAAUAAUCAUGAAGAGAGAGAGGGAAUGAGUUUAAUCCUGAUUAAACUAUGUAUACAUUGUUUCCAAGACUAUGAAACCUGAUGAAACUAGCAUUGGGGAUUAGAGAGUUUCAUUUCAUCUCAUAACAUCCAAUCACAUACCUCGCAAUUAAACGUUAUGUCCAGCCUAUGAAAUCGCGAAAUGAAACUCUCCAUUGGGAGAUCUUGUGUCAUACAUCCACUCAAACAUCUUUCGAUGACGUACCACUCUUGAAAAUUGUAAUUGAAAUUUCCCACUGGGAAUAGCCAUGGUUGCUCUAGAGUCUAGACUCUAUUUAAGUCACUUCAACUUUUUCCCUACACACAACCCCUGCAACAGUUAUGAUACAACAUAAAAUCCAUUGGGAGCUUUUCGAUUCUAGCACCAUUUCCUCUCUCAAACUUGCUGCAUUUUUUUUCCAAUACUAGGUAGUUUCGAAUGAGAGUGAUGAAGCCGAUGUCGAUGAAUUGAAGAGUAUCGGGAUGGAAAUUGUUGAAAGAUGUGACUGCUUGCCGUUAGCAGUUAAGGUCCUUGGAGGACUCUUGCGUCACAAAAGGAGAACAAGGGAUGCCUGGACGGAUGUUAGUAGCCACGAUAUUUGGUCGACAAUAGGAAGCGAUGAAGAUAUUAAUAAAGCGGUCUAUUUGAGUUAUGAAGAUUUGCCUUCACACUUGAAGCAAUGUUUUGUGUAUUGUUCGCUAAUCCCUAAAGAUCACUUGAUAUCGAGUGGAGUAAUAGUCAAGCUUUGGAUUGCAGCAGGUCAUGUACACAACAAGAUGAGCUGUAAGGUACCAGAAAAGUUGGGGAAAGAAUACUACAACGAAUUGGUUUCAAGAAAUCUUCUAGAACCAGACAAAAGUUACUAUAGUACAGUAGUAUGCAGGAUGCACGAUGUUGUCCGUUCCUUCGCUCAGUAUAUAAUUAAAGAUGAAGGGAUACUUAUUAGUGAUGGGCAGGAUGUUAAUAGAACUCUUAGCACUGCAAAGCUUCGGCACCUAUCUAUCUCAAACACGACAGUAGGGCAUGACACUUUGCAAAAACAAGCCUUGCUUAGAACAUUAAUUUUAUUCGGAAGCAGUACCACUGUUGAGCUAAAGGAUCUGUUGAACAACCUUUCUUGCCUGAGAGUACUACAUCUAGUAAAGGUAGAUUUAGUCGAGCUGCCAGACUCCAUAUGCCACCUCAAACAUUUAAGAUACUUGUGUAUUUGUAACGCAAGCAUAUCCAGAAUUCCUCAAGGCAUAGGAGAUCUAAAAUUUCUACAAUCUAUUGACCUUGAUGGGUGUGCAAAUAUUCAUCAACUUCCUAACAGCAUCCUAAAGCUGCGGAAGCUAAGGUCACUCAACUUGAGCGACACGGCAAUCACUUCAAUUCCUCGUGGCUUGGGAAAACUAGAAGAUUUGGUCACCAUAAGGGGGUUUCCAACACAUUAUUCAGAUGAGAGCACAGGUGGCUGGUGCAGCAUAGAAGAACUCAGACCUCUGUCGAAGCUCCAAAGCCUUGAAAUAAUAUGUCUGGAGAAGGCACCUUCCGGUUCUAUGGCUGCUAAAGCAAACCUUAGCAGUAAACAUCACCUGACAUGGCUAGAUUUGGUAUUUACCAGCAGGCUAGGAGACAACGGGGUGGUCGAAGGCAACAUUAGCGAGGAGGAACACAGGAGAACAGAGGAGGUGCUGGAUAAUCUGUGUCCUCCAACUUGCAUGGAAGAACUUGAUAUAAAAGGCUACUUUGCACGUGGGCUACCGCAGUGGAUGAGAACCAUGUCAGCCUUUGGGAGCUUAAGGCGGUUGGUGCUACAUGACUACGCAUGCUGCCCGCAUCUACCUAAUGGAUUGGGGCAGCUCCCCUUUCUUGAUUAUUUUUGGGUCAAACGUGCUCCGUCUGUCCGGUGCGUUGGGCACGAUUUCCUCUUCCCCUCCUUGGGUGGUCAAGCUGAUGGCAAAGUAACACGGAACAAUAACAGGCAGCCUCAUCAUACUUCGCGUGGUGCUGGUGUUGCUUUUCCCAAGCUGUCAGAAGUGGGUUUUGUAGGCAUGCUGGGAUGGACGAAUUGGGAGUGGGAGCAGCACGUCCCAGCGAUGCCUACACUAGAGGAGCUUACAAUCAGAAACUGCAAACUGCAACACCUUCCUGCAGGGCUUGCAUACCAUGCAUGCCGGUUGAGAGAGUUGGACCUGAGAAAUAUCCAGCUCUUGGUCUGUGUGGAGAACUUCCCUUCACUAGUCAAGCUUUGGUCAUAUGACAACCCAAGGCUGGAGAGGAUCAGCAACAACCCAAGCUUGCAAUGGAUUGACAUUAGCAAUUGCCGAGCACUAGAGGAAUUGGACGGUUUGCCAUCCCUCCUAAGCCUUGAGUGGUGGAAUUUGAGUGCUGAAGCACUCCCAGAAUACUUGCGAGAGGCAAAGCUAAAGAAAUUGCGUGUAGAUUGCAGCCGAAGAUUGCUCAAACUGAUAGCACUACAAGAUGAAUCCUCCGAAUGGGGAAAGAUCCAGCAUGUCCAGCAACUAAAGGUGUAUGGAUGCAAGAUAGAAGGAGAAGCGGAGGAAGCCGACCAAUCGCACGAAGAUGAGGAUGCCGAGUGGUACAUCUACUGUACCAAGGAGCCGUAUUCAUUCGACGCAUACCUGGGCAAGUCCACGGGUGAGUUCAUCUUCGACCUACUCGGUGGUUUUAUAACUGUAUGUGUGUACACUCAUGUAAAAAUGGAUUUCUAACUGUAUAUUCACCUGCGCACAGGAUGAAGAUGAAGCAGAAGUAGACGAGGUGAACGAAGAGCAGAGUCCAGGAAUAGAACAUAGUAAGAAUGCAAGGAACAGAGGAAGCUCUCAGGCUGUUACGACAGGAGGAGCAUUCGAAUCCAUCCACCAAAUACUAGGUAUGAAUUGCCCAAAUACUAAUGGUCUUGUAGUUGUACACGCCAAAUUGGCUGUGACUAUUCUAACUGGAAAGCAUUGUCGUGUUAACGCAGGAGAAGAACACAUCGCAAUUGGCAUACUGUCCCUCAAAUUCGUAAGUUGUAUAUGUUUGUGUGCGAAAAAUAUAAUACAUCAGUAAGGCGCGAGCGUCUCUCUAACCAGUUGUUGUGACGCUCAGGAAGGGAGCGCCAGCACGGGCGGCCUUGGACUCGUUGGAGCGAAUACGCGUCGGGGACGAGCGAUGGGCUGAGAGCUGAAGCACUGAACGUGCGCGCGAAGGGCAGCAGGGAAGGGAUUUGCACAUUUAGCUCCCAGGAUUUGCACUUCUUGUUGGCGUAUUUGUAGGCAGGUCUGCACUCCAUCUCUUCUUUUUGGUUGGUCUGUGCUAGCUCGUCAGACUUUCUACAGUGUUUUUGAAUGUUCGAUAACAAAUGAGUGUAGGAAUUUGCAGACGUGCUCUAUGAUGCCGAGAUAACAAUUGCAUCCCCCCCUCAUGGAUCCUCUGGAAAGCUGAAGCUACUCUGCAAGACUGCAACGAUUGCAGCAACACGGACGUGCCUACUAAAAACAUGGUGCAAUAAAACUGCGAAAUGCUAAACAAGGUCAAGCCGGCAGCCAGGUGAGCAACAUUCCAGGCAGCAGGCAUAUUCUGAGCCGUUCAGCGUGGACCGGAGCCAACAACGGGGAUAAGAAGUCCCAACUAGUAGUAGUUGGCAGCCAAUGCGGUGGCCAAAAUUUGACCAAGCCAAGGCUAGUAAACAGCAAAUUUUGUAGCAAACCAAAAUUAAAAUGCGACGUAACCAAAGCGCUGGCGUAACCAUGUCGACAUUAGACCUGAUUUGUUAAUACGUGCUGAGAUGGCGAGGCAUAUCUUGUAACCAGCGACGAAGAGAAGAGUUCAAGCUGCAUUGGAUACAUGUGCUCCUGCCUCCUGGGGGUUAGUUGAGGCGUCUCUCUUUUGCACCUCAUCAAUAGAGACAAAUAAUUUGAGUUGCAUAUUUUUUGACUACUGACUGGACACCCAAUCGAGGUCCACAAAAAUAUGGAGUAGCGUACUCUUCUGGCCCUCCUAUGCGUUGAACUUCUUCGCCUCACCAUCUCAUCUGCCCAUCCGUGAUUUUCCAUCGACCGGCCAGGCCUUCCUUCUGUAUAAAGCGUCUCCUAAAUCACCGCAGAGUGUACACCCACACAUAUCUGAAAUCUAGUCAUCUUCCUUAGUCAUCUUCCUUUUGCUCUCUGCUUUGCUACCCUGUUCCCCGACCAUGGCAGAGCUGCUGGACGAGUUCGCGUCCAAGCUUGUGGGCAUCCUGGCAGGCAUGGUGAAGGAGGAGGUGGAGAUGCUCCUCGGCGUGCCGGGUGAGGUCACCAAGCUCGAGACCACGCUCCGCGACCUGAGCCACAUCUUGGGUGAUGCGGAGAGGAAGCGCAUCCGUGACAAGGCUACGGAGGGUUGGGUGAGGGAGCUCAAGGACGUCAUGUACGACGCCGAUGACGUCCUUGACCUCUGCCAGCUCAUGGAAGGCGGAGAAGAUCCUCCCGCACCAACAUCUGCUCCGAAAACCACCUCAAGGUGCUGGGACAUCCCCAAGAUGUUUUUUUGCUUCCGCAACCCUGUUGCGGCACAUGAGAUUGGAACGAAGAUCCAAGCGAUCAACCAGCGACUGGAAGACCUGGCAAAGAGGAGCUCCCGUUUCGGAUUCAUCACCCAAGCCAUCCAUUCCUCAGCUGAUUCAAUCAACGAAGCUUGGAAUUCUUUGUCCGACGAGACUGGAUCGGUUUUUAUCCGGUCUGAUGUUGUCGGCGAGAAGAUUGAGGAUGACACGAAGAAAAUUGUUGAUCUACUCAUCAAGAAGGUGGAUGCUCCUGUAGGAUCAAGGGCCAAUAGUGAUGUGGUUGUUGCUGUUGCUAUCACAGGCACAGGUGGGAUAGGCAAAACCACUCUUGCUAAGAUGGUCUUCGGUGAUAGUAGGGUGGAGGAAAACUUCAAGGAAAGGAUCUGGUUGAGCGUUAACCGUGAGUUCAAUGAGAUCAAUGUCCUACAAAGUCUUAUAGCUUCUUUUGGUGCCAAACAUGAAGGCUGUGCGGGAAACAAGGACCUACUUCAGCGUGCCCUGAAGGAUACAAUCCGGCAAAAGAAGAAGUUUUUGUUGGUGAUGGAUGAUGUGUGGAGCGAAAAUGUGUGGUAUAAGCUGCUUAGAGAGCCGCUCAAUCAUGGUGCUUCUGGCAGUCGAGUCUUGGUGACCACAAGAAAUGAUGGAGUUGCUCAUGGGAUGAAAGCUCAACAUCUCCAUCGAGUUGACAAGCUAACAACGGAAGAUGCUUGGAUUUUGCUAAAGAACCAGGUCAGUAAUAACUUUUAUUUAUUACAGUAAUUAUUUAUGCAGUAAUUUGAAUUUACAGUAACAACUUUUAUCUCUUCUUAAUUACUUUCUCUCCCUUGGAGUAAUGCACGAUAGCCCAUUGCUCAAUAUUUCUCUUGUCGCUCUUUUCCGAUCUGAUUACGCAAAGGACCAUGUAAUUUCACUACGAGCCUUUUAUCAUACUUUCAAAGCUCUUCGCUUAGCAAAACAUGUCUCAUGGUUAUAUUUAGUUGAACAUAUCCUAUUGACGUUGAGGGAUGUUUUGUUUAGGGCAACGAAUCGGGUAUCGUAGCCUAAGAGGGGGAGGGGGUGAUUUAGGCAACUUAAAAUCUUAACCUAUGGCUUCUGCUACUUUUGCAUCAAACAUAAACAAGAUCAUGCUGUCAAGAUGUGCAAUUAUGGUUGAUCUAGUGUGAACUCUUCAUCCUAAAAUAAGUUUUGCAACCUAGAGGCAUCCUAGCAAGAUACUACACUAAGAAAGUAAAGGCACACAAGUUGUAAGUAUGAAAUGCGGAAAUGUAAAGGAGGGGAUGAGGGGAAGCAAACUCUUGACACAAGAGUAUUGCUUUCCGGUCACCAAGUCUCUCCCUGGACACUCCUUGAUUUGCCACAAAGGCUCGGCUACUAAGGCUCACGCCAAAUUCACAGGCUACCUUGAUACCAUCUCCACAAAGGAGCUUCUCCACGAAAGAAGGGGGUCUCCACGUUCCCUGCACAUUGUCGUCGACGCCGCUCCACACCAAGCCGGAGGGUCAAAGACUUACCGGCGAACCACCAAGGCUCCAAGGUUUCAGCACACCUUGUACAGCUGUGGUUCACUCCUAGAAUCGAUCACAAGGCAAGCACACCUUGCAUUCUCUCUUCUCUAGGCCUAUCCUAGCACUAAACAUUCUUCUAAGCUUGCGCUAAACCUUUGAUUAAUCACUUAUGCACUUUUGGUGGUUUGGAUGUGUUCUUGACGAGUCUUGAUCUCCAAUGGAAUUCUGCACACUCCAGCUUCAUCCAACAACUCCAAAUGGGUGAGUGGCGGGGGGUAUAAAUAGCCCAAGAACUCAAAGAGCCGUUGCUCCAACGGCUAGUUAAAGUAUACCAUCGGAUGUUCCGAUGGUAUCAUUUGGGGUAGCAUCGGAACAUCCGGUUCUACCAGCCAUUGCCUCCCCGCGCUCAGAUUCUGCUCAAGUUCCUCACUGACGUAAUCCAUCGAUUGAUCCAGUGGUCCCUCUAGCACCCAUCGGAUCAUCCGGUGCAGUAGCUUCCUAUGCCAAAACGUCUUUGUUAGUUUCUAAAAUAAAUAUGCUUCGUCCGAUGCCCCUGCGACACAUAGCGUCGGAUCAUCCAGUGCCUCCUUCUUUCUUCUCUUUGCUCCGGCGAUUCAUCCGAUGGGUACAAAACUUAGGCCAUCGGAUCAUCUGAUGGUCCUGCUUUGACUUGGUCUCCACAUGGCGAACCAAAAGCUCUGAUGCUUGCACCGACACUUUUUCAACUGGCCAUCAAAGCAUCCGAUGGUCUCAAAAAUCUUCUUCACGCUUGUCACCAACUGAUUCGGUGGGCACCUUCUUCUUGUCACCGGAUGAAUCAGUGGCUAUAACAAUUCUUGUUUUUCUUUGAUUUCUUUGAUUCUUUGCUUGUCUUUGGUUGUGGUUGCUUCCUUAGGACCUAUAAUACCUUCAAGAUAUGUUCUCAAUGCUUUGUUAGUCCUAAUGACCAUGUUGUCACAUUAAUCACCGAAAUCACAAACAAAUGGCCUAUUCGGAGCCAUGUUUGCUACAUUUAGGCUAUCCCCAAUGAGGAUUUCAUAAGAGUUUCUUUUAAUGAUGUGACACAUCAACAAUUUUGAUGAUAUGACAUGCUAAUAAUCAUGAAGAGAGAGAGGGAAGGAGUUUCAUCCUGAUUAAACUGUGUAUACAUUGUUUCCAAGACUAUGAAACCUGAUGAAACUAGCAUUAGGGAUUAGAUAGUUUUAUUUCAUCUCAUAACAUCCAAUCACAUACCUCGCAAUUAAACGUUAUGUCCAGCCUAUAAAAUCGUGAAAUGAAACUCUCCAUUGGGAGAUCUUGUGUCAUACAUCCACUCAAACAUCUUUUGAUGACAUACCACUCCUGAAAACCGUAAUAUGAAAUUCCCCACUGGGAAUAGCUAUGGUUGCUCUAGAGUCUAGACUCUAUUGAAGUCACUUCAACUUUUUCCCAACACACAACCCCUGCACAAGUUAUGAUACAACAUAAAAUCCAUUGGGAGCUUUUCGAUUCUAACACCAUUUCCUCUCUCAAACUUGCUGCAUUUUUUCCAAUACUAGGUAGUUUUGAAUGAGAGUGAUGAUGUCGAUGAAUUGAAGAGUAUCGGGAUGGAAAUUGUUAAAAGAUGUGACUGCUUGCCAUUAGCAGUUAAGGUCCUUGGAGGACUCUUGCGCCGCAAAAGUAGAACAAGAGAUGCCUGGACGGAUGUUAGUAGCCACGGCACUUGGUCGACAAUAGGAAUCCAUGAAGAUAUUAAUAAAGCGGUCUAUUUGAGUUAUGAAGACUUGCCUUCACACUUGAAGCAAUGUUUUGUGUAUUGUUCGCUAAUCCCUCAAGAUUACUUGAUUUCAAGUCGAGUAAUAGUCCAGAUUUGGAUUGCAGCAGGUCAUGUACACAACAAGAUGAGCUGUAAGGCACCAGAAACGUUGGGGGAAGAAUACUACAAAGAAUUGGUUUCAAGAAAUCUUCUAGAACCAGAGAAAGGUUACUAUAGAAUAUCAGCAUGGAACAUGCACGACGUUGUCCGUUCCUUCGCUCAGUAUAUAAUUAAAGAUGAAGGGAUACUUAUUAGUGAUGGGCAGGAUGUCAAUAGAACUCUUAGCACUGCAAAGCUUCGGCACCUAUCUAUCUCAAACAAGGCAGUAAGGCAUGACACUUUGCAAACACAAGCCUUGCUUAGAACAUUAAUGUUAUUCGAAGGCAGCACCACUGUUGAGCUAAAGGAUAUGUUGAACAACCUUUCUUGCCUAAGAGUACUACAUCUGAUAGAUGUAGAUCUAGUUGAGCUGCCAGACUCCAUAUGCCACCUCAAACAUUUAAGAUCCUUGUAUCUUUCUGGCACAAGCAUAUCCACAAUUCCUCAAGGCAUAGGAGAUCUAAAAUUUCUACAAUCUAUUGACCUUGAUGGGUGUGCAAAUAUUCAUCAACUUCCUAACAGCAUCCUAAAGCUGCGGAAGCUAAGGUCACUCACCUUGAGCGACACGGCAAUCACUUCAGUUCCUCGUGGCUUGGGAAAACUAGAAGAUUUGGUCGACAUAAGGGGGUUUCCAACACAUUAUUCAAAUGAGAGCACAGGUGGCUGGUGCAGCUUAGAAGAACUCAGACCUCUAUCGAAGCUCCAAAGCCUUGAAAUAAUAUGUCUGGAGAAGGCACCUUCCGGUUCUAUGGCUGCUAAAGCAAACCUUAGCAGUAAACAUCACCUGACACGGUUACAUUUGGUAUUUACCAGCAGGCUAGGAGACAACGGGGAGGUCGAAGGCAACAUUAGCGAGGAGGAACACAGGAGAACAGAGGAGGUGCUGGAUAAUCUGUGUCCUCCAACUUGCAUGGAACGACUUGAAAUCAAAGGC